GUUCUUCCUGAGAACUCUCACUGUGCUCCAAUAUCGAGGUGGAGUUGUUCUGCUUUCCGUCUGCGUUCCUGUUGGAACAUUUAACUGAAGAGCAACCGCAUGAAGGACCACAAGAUCCCUUUGUAGCUCGACACUGACAUUUCAUCGUUUUGCAAGAAGAGCUCUUACUGCAAGUGCAGCACACAUCAGAUGUUGACGUGGGUUUCACUGCCUCAUCUGAAGGAGAGUCCAGGUUUCCACUCAUCGUCAAGAUCUGGAUCUUCCCGUUCAUGGUCCGAGUCAUCAGAAUCAGAGGUGUCCAUGUCCUCAUGAACUAUAACCGAGUUCCGGGCUUCCUGCUUUUUCAAGCUGUGCUCGUUGUUUAAAUUCUCCUCCGCAGACCUUUUGAUCAAUUCAGAAGCCUGUAAAAAAUGGAAUCCAUGCAAAAUUUCAGAGGAUAAGUGACAUUAGCUAUCAGAUAAACAAGAGUAGUAGAAGCUAAUUUUACUAACCUGUGCCUUCACCUGAUGCGCGAGGUCUGCUUUUUGGAUCUCCAAGUAUCUAACAAAACUGCUAAACUUCACAAUUUUUUCUUUCAGGUCUCUUAUUAGGACGUCCUUUUCCCUGCAGUCUGCUUCUCUAUCUCGAGCUAGACACCUUUUAAUUAAACAAUGGACAUGUAUAAGAAUAAAGAGUGAGUUGGGAGUCAUA